rnacentral:rRNA from 1 species
CCUACGGGUGGCAGCAGUGCGGAAUAUUGGUCAAUGGACGCGAGCCUGAACCAGCCAAGUAGCGUGAAGGAUGACUGCCCUACGGGUUGUAAACUUCUUUUAUAAAGGAAUAAAGUGAGGCAAGUGUGCCUUUUUGUAUGUACUUUAUGAAUAAGGAUCGGCUCACUCCGUGCCAGCAGCCGGGGUAAUACGGAGGAUCCGAGCGUUAUCCGGAUUUAUUGGGUUUCAAGGGUGCGCAGGCGGAGGCACACGUCAGCGGUAAAGUGGCGGGGCUCAACUCCGCUCCGCCGUUGAAACUGUGUCCCUUGAGUGCGCGAAGGGUGGGCGGAAUGCGUGGUGUAGCGGUGAAAUGCAUAGAUAUCACGCAGAACUCCGAUCGCGAAGGCAGCCUACCGGCGCGCAACUGACGCUCAUGCACGAAAGCGUGGGUAUCGAACAGGAUUAGAUACCCCAGUAGUC